UUCAGAGCCUCUGAAGGCGCUCAGGUUGAAGUUACCGUCAGUCGAAACACACUCCUACAGCUCUGUGUGUGUGUGUGUGCGUGUGUGUGUGUGUGUGUGCGUGCGUAUGUUUUCUGCUUCUCCACAUGGAUUUAACACCAAAGCAUGAUGGGAGUACAGCGGCUGUCCUCGUCCUGUCAGAGGAUUGUUAAAGUUGCUGCAGUGUGAGGGGAGAGCAGAGAUUCCUGCAGGAGUCGCCUGACGGGACCUCAGGUCUGAGGAUCUUCAUGGACGGACCAAAGAUGGCAGCUUUAGGAACAGCUCUCCUCACUUUAGCGUCAGUCCUCCUGCACGUGGCGAGAUGUCAGGGCAGUAUGGGAAAAGGGAAAGACAGCUCGCCGCUAAGGUUCACACAUCAUCUUUACAAUGCCACUAUCAACGAGAACUCAGCCCCGCGGACGUACGUGGAGACGCCCGUGAAGAUGGGCAUUGAAAUUACAGAUGUGUUCUGGGAAAUCAAGUAUAACGUUGUCUCAGGUGAUGACGACGGCCUCUUCCAGGCAGAGGCGGUUAAAGUCGGGGAUUUCUGCUUCCUCAGGAUCAAAACACGCAGCAGUAACUCGGCACUCCUCAACAGAGAGGUCAGAGACACUUACGCUCUCACUGUGGCCGCGACCGAAAGCACUUUUGACUUCCAGGCGAAGACAAAGGUGUUGAUCCAGGUGCUUGACACCAACGACCUGAAGCCUCUUUUUUAUCCCGCCUCGUACAAUGCGGCCAUCAGAGAGGACACUCCACUCAAGUCGAGUGUGGUGAAGGUCAGUGCCACAGACGCCGACGUCGGCAGCAACGCUGAGUUUUAUUACUCCUUCACCAGCAGAGCUCAUCCGUUCGUCGUCGACCCUUUCACGGGCACAGUCAGCCUCGUCAAGAAGCUAAAUCACACCCGCACGGCGAGGUACGACCUCACCGUGUUGGCUGAGGACAGGACGAAGAAAAUAUCUGGUGUUCAGAAAUUUGGAAAUGUUGCCAGGGUUACAGUAAACGUCCAGAAGACAUCCACGAGUUCUCCAGUUAUCACACCUCCCCCCAAACCCACAGUGUCCACAGACGGCAGAAUAAGUAUUGAUGUCCACGUGGAGGCCGGCGUUAAGCCCGUGGAAUCCCUCCAUAUUGUUGGAGGAGAUCCCCACAAGUGUUUUGAGAUAAUCCCGUCAGGUGUGCAGGGCAGAGACUUCCAAGUGAUCUCCACAAAGAGGAUUAUCUGGUCUCAAACUCCUUUUGGGUUGAAUCUGUCCCUUCAGGCUAAAGACCGGAGCUUCCCCAGUUUACUCUCUCCAAUUACACACAUCCACAUCCCGGCUCAUCAUUACAGCCCGCUGGCGUUUCUCGAGGACACCUACAUCGUCACACUGAGCGAGUUUUCACCGCCUAAAACUCAUGUAGUCAAAGUCUCUGUCUCCUCUGUGCCUUUUAACGUCACCUUCAGCAUCAAAAAUAAUGCUGACAGCACCAAAUUCAGGAUUAACCCCAGAACAGGAAUCAUAGUAACGACGGCGAGAUUUGACUAUGAGAGGAAGGAAAGAUAUGAGUUCGAUGUGAUGGCGAAUCACGGUGAGGCUGAGACUCACGUGGUGAUUGAGAUUACGGAUGAAAACGACAACAGCCCACAGUUCAGCCAGACGUCCUAUCAGGCCACUCUGGAUGAAAACGCCCCUGUCGGUAGCAGCGUUCUGAAAGUCGUCGCCACAGACAGAGACAAAGGCAAAAACAGCUUUGUGACGUACACUAUAGCGAACGCAGGCCCGUUACCUUUCAUCAUAGACCCGUUCACAGGCGUCAUCUCCACCUCCGAACACUUGGACUACGAGCUGAUGAAACGACGCUACCAUCUGAGAAUCUGGGCAUCAGACAGCGGCACCCCCUUCAGUCAGGUCAGCGAAUGCCCCGUGACAAUAACCCUCAACAACAUCAACGAUAACUUCCCUCUGUUUGAGAGGGUGGGCUGCAACACCACCGUGCCUCAGGACUUGCCCGUGGGACACACCAUCGCUGAGCUGUCGGCCAUCGACGUGGACGAGCUGCAGCAGCUGAGGUACGUCUUCGAGUCGGGGAACGAGCUCCAGGUGUUUGGUAUCGACCCGGUGUCAGGCGCCGUCACCCUGAAGCAGCCGAUCCCUCUGAGAGCAAACUCGUUCGAUUUAAAAGUUGUAGCCACAGAUGGCAAACAUUUCUCAGAGGCUUCAGUCAUCAGGGUAACCGUCACUAACAGAGGCGAUGAUGCGACGCUCCAGUGCCAUGAAACGGGCGUUUUCAAACAGCUGACCGAUAAACUGAUCGAGUCCAUCAAACCCAUUUUAACCAUUCAAGAAGAAGACACGUUCUCUGAUCUGCACAUCACCAACCGUCACUCUCCAAAGUUUGACCUGAGCAUCCCAGGUUCUAUUGACCUCAUUGAGGACCAUCCGCUGAAUUCCACCAUCGUCCAGUUCAAGGCGACGGACGCUGACUCUGGAUUCAACAGUAAGCUGGUGUAUGCCAUCUCCAGUGGGAACGAGGACGGCUGUUUCUCCAUCGACGUUUUCUCUGGUGACCUUCAGUUAGUCUGUCCGUUAGACAGAGAGAGUAAAGAGUUCUACAUCUUGAACAUCACUGUUUAUGAUUUGGGAAUACCGCAGACGUCUGCGUGGAAGUUUGUUGCAGUGAACGUCAUGGACGUCAACGACAAUCCUCCGGUUUUCGAUCAGCCCAGAUACAUGAUCCAUGUGCCUGAAAACACGGAGGUGGACUCCAUCAUCUUCACAGCUCGUGCAGUAGAUCCUGACACAGAUAUGAGCGGGAGUGUCCAGUACUCCCUGCUGACGUCCACUGACAUGUUCAGGGUCGAUGAAGUGACUGGCGAGGUGACGGUGACAGGCCGUUUGGAUCGGGAAGCCUCGCCCAGGCAUGACCUCCGGAUUGAAGCCAGAGACCAGGCCAAGCUGGGCCCUCAGCUGUUCUCCAUCAUCGACCUGGUGGUGGUUUUACAGGACAUAAACGACAACCCGCCAAAGUUUGUGCCCAAAGUUUACAAAGUCAAAGUUCCCGAGGACGUUCCUGUGGGCACGCUGCUCGUCUGGGUCGAGAGCGUCGACUUGGAUCAGGGCAGCGGAGGCCUCGUCACCUACAACCUCAAGAACACAGAGGGCGGGAUCUUCCACCUCGACUCCUCCACGGGCGCCUUGAUCCUGGAGCGGGAGCUGGACUUUGAGAGACGGCCAUUUUACAACCUCACGGUCCGAGCGGUGGAUCACGGCCUCCCUCGCUCCUUGUCCUCCUCCUGCUUCGUGGAGAUUCAGGUUCUGGACGUGAACGAGAACCUCCACAGGCCUGUGCUGUCAGAGUUUGUGUAUGAAGCCGGAGUGAUGGAGGACUCAGUGGUGGGGACGUCCGUGGUCACACUCACAGCUUCAGAUAAAGACCUGGGCAGAGACGGAGUCGUCAGGUACCACAUCCAUGAAGGCUCCGGUCUGGGCGUCUUCGCCAUCAACGAGGAAACAGGUGUGAUUCGUACGACUGAGACGUUGGACCGCGAGACGACGCCUCACUACUGGCUCUCCGUCUACGUCACUGAUCUGGGAACCGAACCUCUGAUCUCCUGGACGCACGUCUUCCUGGAGGUCCUGGACGUUAACGAUAACGCUCCAGAACUCUCUCAGCCCGUGUACUUUGCGUCCGUCCAGGAGAACGUGGACAAAGUAAAGUCAGUCGUCCAGGUGUUGGCGACAGACGUGGACACUUCCUCUGAGGGGAAGCUCUCCUACCAGAUGCUGGAAGCUCAUCGGACUUACUUCGAUGUGGAUCCCAAAACAGGUGUCAUCAGCACUCUCUCAGCGUUGGAUCGGGAGGAUAAACCAGAGCACAGUGUCGAGGUCAUCGUGUCAGAUAAUGGCUCCCCACCUCUGCGCUCCACCGCCACCGUCGUGAUCCGAGUGCUGGACGCCAAUGACAACCGACCAAAGUUCACUGACAAACUUUUCCACGUCAAACUCCCGCAGCAGCGCCGGCAGGCGGGUAAACAGGAAGUCUGCAGGAUGGUCGCUCGUGACGACGAUGAGGGCGCCAACGCCGUGGUGACCUACAAGCUCCAAGACAACAAGGAUGAGGCGUUUGAGAUCGACCCUGUGACGGGCGUGGUGACAUCACAUGGUGACUUCUGGCCUGGAAACUACAGUAUUCUCACGAUUAAAGCUACGGACCAGGGCAGCCCGUCACGCUCGUCCACGUCGAGACUCGACAUCGAGUGGAUCGCCCGCCCCCCGCCCUCUGCUGAGCCAAUCACGUUUGAUGAGCCCCACUUCACCUUCGCUGUCAUGGAAACGGAGCCUGUCACUCACAUGGUGGGCAUCAUCAUGACGGAGACGCACCCGCUGAGGUGGUUCGACAUCAUAGGUGGUGAUGAAGAAAAGGACUUUGACAUCCAGAGGAAUACAGGAACCAUCUCCAUCGCCCGCCGGCUCGAUGCAGCUCGACGCUCCAACUACAACAUGACAGUGCGGGUCACCGACGGCCAUCACAGCGCCACCACACAGGCCUACAUCCGUGUGCUGGACAUGAACGAGCAUCGGCCUGUCUUCCUGAAGCCGCUGUACGAGGUGAGGGUUCCCGAGGACACCUCGCCUUGGAAGGACAUCCUGCAGAUCAGCGCGCAGGACGCCGACACCAACAGUAAACUGGUGUACUCCAUCCACAGCAGCCUCCACCCUGACAGCACCAAGUUCUUCCAUCUGGACCCCAAGAGUGGAGUCCUGGUGAUGACGGAGGAGCUCGACUACGAGAUGAUCUCCACUCACACGCUCAUCGUCAUGGUGCGUGACCAGGAGAUCCCCGUGAAGAGGAACUUUGUGAAGGUGGUGGUUCACGUGGAGGACUGUAACGACCACUCGCCGGCGUUCCUCAGCCCUCGCUACGAGGCCAGCCUCUCUAACCUGGCCCCCACAGGCUCUGAGGUCAUCCGGGUCAAAGCCCUGGACAAAGACAUGGGCAGCAACGCCGACAUCAGCUACUCUCUGAACUCUGGGAACAUCGACAACAUCUUCUCCAUAGAUCCCGAGCUGGGCUCCAUCACUGUGUCCAGACCUCUGGACCUGCAGCCUCAGGACCAGUUCCACCUGACCGUGAAGGCGACUGACCAGGGCUUCCCUCAGCGCAGCGACCUCUGCUCCGUCCACGUCCACAUCCGCAUCUCAGACCACACUCCACCUGCCUUCCCCUCCGAUGAAUACCUGACAGAGGUCAGUGAGUCCAGCGCCCUGGGAACACCGGUGGUCACCAUCUCGGCCUCCAGCCCUGCCGCAGUGCACUAUGGGAUAGAAAGUGGCAACCCAAACGGGACGUUUCAUAUCAACCCGUACACCGGGCUGAUUUCAGUCCAGAGGCAUCUCGACUUUGAGAGCUGUGACUCCUACAAGCUCAAAGUGACGGCUUCUACCACAGCCGGAGCCUCGUCCAGGACGGCUGUUCACGUCUACGUGGUCGACGAGAACGACAACGCUCCUGUGUUCAAACAGAGGGAGUACCUGGGGCAAAUCAGUGAGUCAGCUCACAUCAACAGCAUGGUGAUGGGGGAGAGGAACACGCCUCUGGUCAUCCAGGCGUCAGACGCAGACAAAGAUUCAAACUCUCUGCUGGUGUUUGAGAUCCUGGAGCCGGACGCUCUGAGCGUCUUCAGGAUGGACUCCAGUAUGGGCACCAUCUCUUUGAUCUCACCUGUGGACUUUGAGGCCAAGGCUGAGUAUCACUUCACUGUGCAGGUGAAAGACUCUGGGGAGUCGUCGCUGUAUGCAGCAGAGCCCGCCAAGGUCACCAUCCGCGUCCUGGACCUGAAUGACUGCCCGCCACAAUUCAGCACCUCAGUGUAUGAGCCAUCCAUCAUCUCCCCGCCUGUCAGAGACGCAGAGGUCGCACGCGUCACGGCCCACGACGCUGACUCUGCGGUCUCAUACAGCAUCACCGAGGGGAAUCUUCACAACGCCUUUUCAAUUCACCCCGACACCGGUGUCAUCACUGUGAGCAACGAGUCUGACUUCAGGCCGUUUUACCAGCUGGUCAUCAGAGCAUCUGACGGCCUCUACAAAGACUCAGCCACCGUCAGGGUCAAUGUCACAAACCUGACAGACAGUGAUCUGGUAUUUGAGCACAAAGUGUACUCAGCCAGCGUCACAGAAAACCUGAAGACGGUGAAAACUUUGUUGGCGCUCAAAGCAACAGGCGUUUUUUUAAACGAGCCUGUUUUAUAUUCUGUGGUGAACCCGGUGGGGAAGUUUGUGAUCUCCCAGACGUCUGGCGUUCUAGAAACAACCGGUUUCCCUUUUGACCGGGAGGAACAAGAUGUUUAUGACGUAGUGGUGAAGGUAGAAGACAUGAGAACGCCGCCGAGAACAGCCACCACCCAGGUGAAGGUUUUUAUCGAUGACGUCAAUGACAACGCUCCACAGUUUUUAAACUUGCCUUUUUCAAUGAUGAUUUCUGAAACCACCGAACCAGGAGACGUUUUAUAUCAAGCAACCGCCGUGGACAGAGACCUGGGAGAGAACGGAUCCAUCAUGUACUCACUGGAGGAGGACUACAACCUCUUCAGGAUAGAUCCUGAUGUAGGCGAUGUGUCCCUACAGCGGCCACUUGACUUUGAAGCUCUGAAUAAAUACGUGUUGACAGUCUUGGCUACAGACGACGGCGAGCCCGGUCACACCACAGCGGCAGAGCUCAGCAUUCAAGUGAGGAAUCAAACCAACCCAGUUUUCCAGACUCUUCUGUAUCCACUCAAAGUCCCCGAAAACGUCCCUCCGUUCACCACCAUCCUUCACGUCCAGGCCAGGAACCCAGAGGGCUACCGGCUCAUUUACAACCUGCAGGAGGAAAACGCCUCGCAACACUUUCACAUUGAUUUCAAAACUGGCGUGUUGACCGUCACCAACCCGCUCGACUACGAGAGCCAGACCAUGCACGUGUUGACAGUUAGAGCGACUGACUCUGUGACCGGAGCUUUCUCUGAGGCCUCCAUCGAAAUCGAAGUAGAGGACGUGAACGAUAAUGCCCCGGUUUUCUCAAAGCGGACGUACACUGUGGACGUAGUUGAGGAGCUCCCGAUCGGCACCUCUGUGAUACAACUGUCUGCCUCUGACAGAGACUCUGGGAGGAAUAAAGAUCUGACCUUCCAGAUUGUGAAAACGGAGAAGAACGAGACUGACGUCUUCGACAUCGACCCACACAGCGGGUUGAUCGUCACAAAACAGGUGCUCGACCACGAAAACACAAAACACUUUGAUUUAAGAAUCAGAGCCACCGAUAACGGCACCGUCCCUCUCAGCAGCGAAGCUCACGUCUUCAUAAAUGUCACCGACGUCAAUGACAACCCACCAGACUUCGUCAGCUCCCAGUAUGACGCCACGCUGGAUGAAAUGGCAAAGUGCGGCCACAUCGUCAUCAAAAUCCAAGCCUCAGACCCGGACACCGGCGACCUGAACAACCUCAGAUACAAAAUCCUCUCAGGGAACGAAGGUCGCUACUUCAACAUCAACGAGUCGUCAGGAAUCAUCUCGUUCUCUAACGUCUGUAAGAGGAACCUGGAUCCGUACUAUAACUUGACGGUGGCAGUGUCGGACGGAGUGUUCCAGAAAACAGCUCCAGUCAACAUCGACAUGAUCAACAGCAACAGGCACAGUCCGCACUUCAAGCAGAACAUCUACGAAGCAGAGCUGGCUGAGAACGCAGAGGCGGGAACUCGGGUGAUACGCCUAGCGGCCAUCGACCCAGACGACGGGCCGUACGGCAGCGUGGACUACACCAUCAUCAACAAACUCGCUGAUGAGAAGUUUGCCAUCGACACCGACGGGCAGAUUGUCACGACGCAGCCAUUGGACAGAGAGAACCCUGCCCAGAGGGUCAUAGCUAUCAAAGUGAUGGCUAAAGAUGGCGGCGGGAAAGUGGCCUUCUGCACGGUGAAGAUCAUCCUCACAGACGAGAACGACAACAUCCCUCAGUUCAAAGCGUCAGAAUACCAGGUGUCAAUCCAGUCCACCGUGAACAAAGGCUCCCCCGUCAUCCAGAUCAUGGCUUAUGAUGCAGACGACGGCAAAAACGCAGACGUCACCUACACGGUGGAUGAAGCCGAAGAGGUGACGGAGGACAUUAUCGAGAUCAACCCUUUCACCGGAGUCGUGAGUGUGAAGGAGAGUCUGGUCGGCAUGGAGAACAAGAUCUUUAACUUCAAAGUCAAAGCUCGUGACGGCAGCCUUCCUUUCUACAACUCCACCGUCCCCGUUCAGCUCAAAGUGGUUCCUCCUGAGGUUCCUCUGCCCAAGUUCUCAGAGCCGCUCUACACCUUCUCAGCUGCAGAGGACGUCCCCAUAGGGACGGAGGUGGGCUCGGUGAGGGCGGACUCCGACAUGCCUCUAAUCUACAGCCUGGUGAACGGGAACACGGUGGAGAGCAACAAGGACAAAGUCUUCAGUCUGGAUAAAGAAAGUGGAACGCUGCUGCUGCAGAAGACCAUCGACCACGAGAAGACAAAGUGGUAUCAGAUCGAUGUGAUCGCCCAGGGGAACCAUAACGGGACGGAUGUGGCGUCGCUGGUGUCGGUCAGCAUCCAGGUCCAAGAUGUGAACGAUAACCAGCCGGUGUUUGAUGCUAACCCGUACAGGGCCUUCCUGGCUGAGAACAUGCCGGCUGGAACCACCGUGAUCCAGGUGACCGCCAACGACCCGGACACAGACACCAAUGGCCUCGUGACCUACAGCCUGGAGUCUCUACCUGAUGACGCUGCGGCUGACAUCACUGACAUCUUCUCCAUCGACGGAGAGAGCGGCUGGAUCACCACUGUACGGCCGACGGACUGCGAGGCCACCAGGGUUUACAGGUUCAACGUGCUCGCCACAGAUCAUGGCGGCGACAUCAAGCUGUCAUCCAGCGUCCUGGUGGAGGUGACGGUGACGGAUGAGAACGACAACCCGCCAAAGUUCUCAGAUGAAGUGUACCGCGGCUCGGUGGUGGAGAACAGCAGCCCCGGGGAGGUCAUCGUCUCCAUGACGACCACAGACUCUGACGUGUCACUGGAGAACCGUCUGGUGACGUGUUACAUCACAGACGGCGACCCUCUGGGUCAGUUCGCCAUCAUCCAGGAGGACGACGGCGAGUGGGGUCUGAUCGUGAAGGAAGCUCUGGACAGAGAGACCAAAGACAGAUACACGCUCAGAGUCACCGCCACCGACGGGAAGUACGAGGCUCCGGUUACCGUGGACGUCCACGUGUUGGACAUCAAUGACAACAGUCCGCUGUGUGAACAGCUGGUGUACACGGAGGCGGUGAUGGAAAACUCGCCCUCCAGCAUGUUUGUGCUGAAGGUUUCGGCUUCAGACCCAGACGUGGGAGCUAAUGGACAGAUCUCCUACACCCUCCACGGUCCCGACGCAGACAAGUUCCAUCUCGACCACAGGACAGGCGAGCUCUUCACACUGGCCGUGUUGGACCGGGAGAAGGAGGUGGAGUAUAAUCUGGUGGCGAAGGCAACGGACGGCGGCGGGCGGUCGUGUCAGGCGGACAUCCGGCUGAUGGUCCAGGAUAUGAACGACAACCCACCUCACUUCUCCUCCAGCCACUACGAGGUCACCGUGUUCGACAACACCACCGUCCGAACUCCCGUCGCUGUCAUAUACGCCAAAGACCCCGACACUGGUAUAAACUCUGAGGUCAAGUACUCCCUCCUGGCGGGCGACAGCGGCUACUUCUCUCUGGACGAGUUUUCAGGGAUCCUGCGUCUGGAGCGACCUCUGACCCCUGACACCCCGCCCACCUUUGAGCUGAAGGUGAAGGCCACUGAUCGCGGCCUGCCUCGUCACCUCUACUCUGUUGCCACGGUGACGGUGGACGUGGUCUCCUUGGACGACUACCAGCCCGUCUUCCUGAGCUCAGAGUACACGGCUCAGCUCCCAGAGUCCUUAGCGGUGGGGUCGGAGGUGCUGAGCGUCUCCGCGCUGACGAGGGACGGAGGAGGGCCGGAUCCUGUCUUCUACCGCAUCGUGUCCGGCAACGAGGACGGACGCUUCCUGCUGGACUCACGGACAGGCCUCCUGACCCUCAGCGCCCCGCUGGACUUUGAAGUUUUGCGGGAGUACUACCUGUCUGUGGAGGGAAGUCGUGGAAAGUCGUCCCUCAGUGACAUCACCACGGUUAUCAUCAACGUGACCGACCUGAACGACAACGCGCCGGUGUUCGGACGAGGCGACUACAGUGCAGAGGUGUCAGAGGACCUGACGCCUGGAGGCCUGGUGAUGAAGGUCACAGCCACCGAUCAGGACGGACCCAUCAACAACCUGCUGCGUUACUCCAUCGUGAGCGGAGACCCUCUGCAGCAGUUCACAAUUCACCCUCGCAGUGGAGAGAUCAGUGUCCGCACGGCGCUGGACAGAGAGGAGAUCCCUCAUUACUCUCUGACGGUGCAGGCAGCAGAUGAAGGAGACCCUCCUCUGUCCUCUGCCGUCCUCAUCACCAUCACCGUCACAGACGUCAACGACAACCCGCCCGUCUUCUCUCAGGUCAACCACAGUCUGCUGCUGCAGGAGGGCGAGUCAGUCGGCACCGGGAUCCUCCAGCUCGUGGUGACGGACAGAGACACGCCCAGGAACGGCCCGCCUUUCUCCAUCCACAUCGUCAGCGGCAACGAGGACCGCCGUUUCCACGUGGACCAGGGCGGCCUGCUGUCGCUCUCGGCUCCUCUCAGAAAGAAGGUCAAACCUCAUCAUCAGCUCAAGAUACAGGUGACGGACAGCGGCCACCCUCCCCUCUCCUCCAUCUGCGUGGUCAACAUCAACGUCACCGAGCAGAGCAAGUAUCCUCCCUCUGUCGUACCUCUGGAGGUCUUCAUCACCUCUUCUGGCGGCCUGUUUGCCAACCGGGUCAUCGGCCGGCUCCACGCCUCCGACCAGGACCUGCAGGACGUCCUGACCUACAAGCUGGUGUCAGAGAGUCCAGACGAAGGACGCUUCUCCGUCGACCUGACUGAUGGAAAAAUCUGGGCGGAUGAAAACCUGAAGGAGGGCUCCUACUCCCUCAACGUCAGCGUGACAGAUGGGAAGUUCAGUGUCUGGACCGGGGUCAAAGUUCACGUGUGGGCGGCCAACCAGAGGACGCUGGACUCUGGCCUGACGCUGCAGCUGGUGGGAUUGUCCCCGGAGGACUUUCUUGGCGACCACUGGAGAGGCCUGCAGCGCAGCCUGGGGCAGGCUCUGGGUUUACCCCGACAGGAGCUCCACCUGGCCAGCCUGCAGCAGCUCCCUGAGACCCGGGUCCUGGAGGCGCUGCUGAUCUGGAGGCCUCAGAGCGGACGAGUCCAGUCUCUGCCGACCAGCAGACUGGCAGGCAUUAUAUCGGACAUCGAGGACUCUCUGGGCCUCAGCAUCCUCAGGGUGAGUCACAACGGCUGUCUGGGCGCCGGCUGCCCGCCGCGAGGCUGCAGGAACGCCGUCAGACUGACAGCAGAGAGACUGAGCCAUUUCACCACCGCCAGAGCCGCUUACAUCACCCCGCAGCACACCUGGGAGAGCGUCUGCCCCUGUAACGAGUCGGCGCUGAGGUUUGACGGUAAAUCGCAUCUCAAGUUCUUCCACCAGAUGGACGAGGACAACCAGGACUUCAGACUGUCACUGAGGUUCAAGACUUUCCAGGAGCACGGCCUCAUCGUGUCCACCAACGGCUCCAAGGACUGGGGAACUUUAUGGGUGGCAGAUGGAGAGCUGCAGUUCAGGUACCGCUGUGGAAGCUCCGCCCCUUCUUCCUUACCUGUCACAUCUGACCUGGUGUCAGACGGCAGGUGGCACAACGUCCUGCUGGAGGUCAACUCCAGCGCCCUCAGACUGACCCUGGACCAGCAGCACCCGGCCUCCGUCCCCCUCAGCCAGCCGUGCAGGAUGCUGCGCUCCCAUGGUGCUUUGCUCUUCGCUUCUCUGACUCAGGACUCUGCUCCAGACGUCCGCCAGCAUCCACACAAUUUCAUCGGCUGCCUCGAGGGGCUGGAGCUCAACAGGGAGCCAAUCAGAGUGGGUGACGUGGCGGAGUGGGCGGGGCCGGGGAGCAGGAGGGUGUUUGGGGUGUACCAGUGCUGCAGCAGGGCGGGCGCCUGCGACACCAACCCCUGUGAGAACAACGGCGUCUGUGAGGAAGACGCCAGCGGAGAGCCGCGCUGCAGGUGUGCAGGACUCUUCCACGGCGCCCGCUGCGAGCUGGCUGACAACCCGUGCGCCUCUCAGCCGUGCGCCCACGGCAGGGUGUGUGUGCCAAAGGCUCAGGGCUACAUGUGCAACUGCUCUCUGGACGACGCUGAUGCACGGUGUCACAAUCAGAUCGAGGUGUGUUCGCCCAAAUCGUGUCCCGGAGGCUUUGACUGUAAAGUGACUGACGGCUUGAUUCACUGCGACCCGCUGCCUCAGGUGUCUCCAAUGAUCGGCUACAUGGAGAUCAUGGAGAUCAGCGUCGCCGUGCUCGGCGUUCUCCUCUUGGUCGGCAUGUUCGUCUGCAUCAGGAAACGUUACGUUCAGAAAAAGAAGAAGAAGCCCGUCUGCGUGCAGGACUCCAACGGAUAUUUCCAGUCCAGUCUCGCCAAGAGCCUCAAAGCCGACAGCCAGGAAGGAAACCCCAUCGAGAUGAGCUCGCUGGUCGGUCCCACCAACGACCUCGACCACACGCCCUUCAGGUCGCUCCGCCCACGCAGCCAGAUCAUAUCGUCAGGAGGCGGGGUUUCCUCUCCAAAGACACAGGGGCCGGUGGUGUGCAGCGUUGCACCGAACCUCCCCGCUGGGCCGCCGUCCAGCUCUGACAAUGACUCCAUCAGGAAGAACCACUGGGACAUGGACUAUGAAGUCUAUCCCGCAGACCCUGAUUACUACGGCCGCCCUGCCGUCCAGGAGUUCCCCCAGUUUGACAUCGUAGAGGACGCCUACUCCACCUCCACCAUGGACUCACGGAGGAACUCUCGAUUCGGCGGCUUCCCGUUCCCGCUGGAUCGCUGCGACCGCCGCGCUCCCCUCCCGCCCUGCUACAGCAACCAGAACCUGGACGACUUCCUGGGUCCUGACGGACUUCCUCUGCCCAGCUCCCAGUGCCCCAACGAGUACACCGCCAUCAGCUACUACCCCACGCAGCACACCCGCAGCCUGGACAACGUCUCUGCAGGAUACAAGAGACUAAGCAUGCGUCUGAGUGUCGCCAUGCCAUCGUACGCAGAGCAAGCCAGCCCGCCGCCACCACCGCCGCCACCAAACCCCGCCCAGCCUCAGACGAGACCGGCGGGACAGAACCAGCGGAGCUACGACGGGCUGAGUAUGGUGGAGAGCGACUACGGGAGCUGUGAGGAGGUGAUGUUUUAGGGCUGGUGGUUAUGAAACAGUACGAGUACACUUCACCAUGUUUGACGGCAGCUCUGUGUACGCGUACACGUCUCAGCCUGACUCUUUGAAACUAAUGAACAGCAGCUCAGCGGGCGCUCUCUCAGAGAUCUGACUCUUUUCUCCACAGAUGAAAGCGCCGCGUGAAACAACGCUUCAUUUGUUUGACUUUUCAAAGUAGUGUAGUCGUGCUGUGCUAGACGAGGCGGGGGUAAUUCGGCUCCGUUCCCUUACCUCCAUGCUUUAAGUUCAGCAGGAGUUCACGCCUUUGUCUGAGACGCACUGCCGAGAGUGCUCGUUAACUUGUUAGGGUUGUGAAAUAGUAUUACUGACUUGACUGUGGGCUGAUUCAGAGUCACAAUAUGGCGAGACUUUUUCAGAAGACGAGUCGGCCCUGUGCUGCUGCACCUAAUCUCGUCCAGCUCCACCAAACACUGACAGUGGCAUGUUCACCGUGCAGCGUGUGAUGUGUCGGGCAGGUGGAACACACGGUUGCCAUGACAGCGGCCAGCGUGACAUUCAGACAACAGUGUUCAUUUAUGAUGAAACGCUGAUAACAAGCUGUGAUGAUGCGUCAUGUCAGAGGCGUUCAUCAUGCCGACACUCUGCUGCAUGUGUGUGUUCAUUUAUCUGACCAGCAGCUGGUGUCGGCCCACUGUUUCACACCUGAAGGUAUUAAAGUGACACUGAGCACAUUUCACGCAGGAUAAACAUUUCACUGACUCUUUAAUCUGCUUCUUGUUGCUGUUGUUUCUUGUUGCUCUCUGUGAGAAAGGCGGAGGCUGGAUCCUCAUCAGAAUAAAAAGAUGAAAGCCGCACAUGGCGGUGACACGGUCGAUGUUCGUGGUGAAGUCGAUGUGUUUGAGUGUUUGUAGUUUCACUGCUGUAAAUUCUGUUUAAAUCUGUUGGACUGUAAUUAGUGUGAACGAGGUCUCAGUGUUUCAGUGUUCGUGCUCUGCCCCGAUCAUAAAGGGAAGAAAAAGUGUCCAUGCAGCCAUUUUAAAUGGUGUAAAUAUUCAGAUGAAAGAAAAACUUGUUUUGGUCCAGAGUUUGUUUUUUAUGCAACAUAUUAAAAAGUGAACGUGUUAAACUGAGUUUUAGAGUCUGUGUUAGCUGCAGUUUCUAAAGUCGACUCACAGUUCAGAGCCACAAUUACACAUCAUCAUCAUUUCAUCAAUAUUUCUUUCAUAGAGAGUUUAAAGCAAAAAUGAAUAAUGAUAAAACUGGAGCUAACAAGUGUUUCAUGUUUUUAAUUAAAGGUAGACUCUGCAGGACUGUUAGUGACGCUCGUCAGUCACAGUGAAAGUAAAAGCCGACCUCAGAUUCACUUGUUUCAACACGUUCUCAUCCCAACUCAUCAAAUAUCACCGUUUGAUCAGAGGACUUUAUCGUCUACAUGUGACGUGCGACGUAUCGUCCUGCGUCAGCUGUUGAUGUUCAGAGACGCUGUGUUAAUUUACACCUGUUAUAUGCAUUGUGUCUUUUCAAAAUAAACUUCUGUUUCCACAGGAAAUGUUCAGCUCUGCUCCUUAAAGUCACCAUAACACCUGGAACUAAUGCACGUGGUUAGGUUUAGAAAAAACCUCUCCUGUCUAAGGAGAGCAGCUGGAGUGAAAGUCCAGGGUUUGUUGGACCCAUCCACCUCCUCUCCUCAGCUCCAGCAGCAUUUCAAACUGACACUGUUCGGUGGCGUAUCAUACCACCACAAAAGGUGUCAUUUGGCGUCUGUGUCUGGCGCCAGUGGUGAUAUUUGAUGAGUUCAGAAUAAACAGGCUGGUACCUGACAUCCUGGGAAUGAGGACAGUUUGGUGAACAGGAGCAUAUUCUUCUCAAUUCAGGUUGAUCAUUUUAUUUUUGGUUUUUAUUUUCCUCGACCUGUAUUCACCGUCUGUCUCUUGAAGCCCCGCCCUCCUGAAAAAGCCCAGUCUGCUUUGAUUGGUUAGCGUUUCCAGGUUGUCCAUAGCUCGGCGUCUCUGCUCUGUCACUGCAGCAGGGAACGACUCUAACAAAGUAUUGUGGCACUUUUUACUGUGAGAAAUCAGCAGCAAAAGUUUCUACACACAACUCGCCAUGUUCCAGCAGCAAUAUGAUCAAAAAUCAACAAUAGCACCUGAGUUUGCAUGUUUCGUUGUUGUUAGCAUGUAGCUACAUGUAGCAGGGAGUAUAGUUUCACUUUGUACCCUGAAAAAAAAAAAAAAGUGUCACCAAUAAAAGCUUCUAAACCAAAAUCUUCACAACAGGACAUGUUCCAGCAGGAAUGUGAUGCCAAAUCAGGGAUAUAUUAACAUCAGCAACCAAAAGUUUCCCUGACGUUAGCAUGUAGCUACAUGUAGUAGUGUAUGUAAGGUAAACAGAUGACCAUAGAAAGAAAUCUGUCACCGGCUGACGUCAGCUCGUCUCAUAUUCAGAACUGUCUGAAGGUUUUUACUCACAGAGUUCAGUGUCACAUACGUUCACCUCAUUAUUUAAAACUUGGACUGCGUGUAAUAAAAACAUUUCACAUUUUAACGUCACAUUCAUGACAGGAAAUAAGGAAAAGUUUAACAGGUCUCCUCUGACAGAACCACAGAGCCACAUGCAUUAUGUAGGAGUUGACACAGUAAGUGUGAUAAAGACUGUUUGAGUUUGUCCUCUCAGCAGUUUCCUCUUCAGUCUGUCUUCAUACUCGAAGCUCAGAUCAGAUUGUUUCAUAUCAUCCGUCACAAAAACAACGAGUGUCAGUGAGCGAUGAUACGACUCAAACAAGCGUCUGUUGGCUGCUUUGUGAAUUCCAGCGCAGAUAAACAGCCUCUCAGAUCAGAUCUGAAAGACAGAUCAGAUUUUCAGCUGUGUGGACACUUUGUGUUUUUUGGCAAACGCUGGCUGAAUGCGCUGUUUACCGCCGCCGCCUUUGUGUAAACGUGUCGGGCUGCAGAUGAUGCAUGUAAAAUCAAAGCAACUGGGUUUUUACAUGGCUCCUGGGGUCCUGGGGGCCGGCGAGAUAAACAGGACACGAGGGCGCUGGGCAGACUGGGGAAAGGAAUCCAGGUGAUUCAGACAGGUUCGUCAGUAUCAGCCUGUCGUUUGUUGUUAACGUCCUGACGGUCAGAUCGCUCCCAUCUGGCACCGUAACAGGCUGAAUCAAAGCACACACGCACACACACACACACACACACACACACACACACACUCUGCAGAUAUUAAUGCAGAUUUAGUCUCUGCUGUUUUUACUGCAGUCGUGCUGAGCUGCUGCUGGGCUGUGGCUCUGUCUCUAAAACAGGACGAUGGAAAGAGACGAGAGGUUUGGAAACAGAAUUCAGGACGCAUCGAGAGACGCUCGUACGUGCAGCAUCAGGGAGUGUAACAGAUUUCAGACGUUGAUUCUGACUCGUGUUUUGUCUGAUACAGAAAAAUAUCUCUGGUCUGAAAUGAGAGAUCUGAGAUCUUCAGAAUCAUCAAUCCGUCCAGUCAGAGAAUCCUGAGCUGUCACUGAAGGAACACUUCAACAAAAACAGCCAGCUCGUCUAUGUUGUACUUUAGUAAGUAAAUCUAUCAGGCUUCUCACUGAGGACCGGACGUCUGAGUUAGCUUCUUGUAAAAUACACAACAUCUCACUUUAAGUCUCAACACAUGCAACAUGUAACAUGUUUAUUCAUGCAUCGUUACCAACAGAAAGUAAUGCACCACGAAUACGUUUAUUACCCAUGAAACUCUGACGGCUGUGAUCAGCUGAUGAACGCACUGACAUGAGUAAAGAAGAAAGAAGAGUGAAAGUCUUCAUAAGGACACAGGUUUGGGGGUGGAUGGGUCAAACAAGCACAGGACUUUUCCCAGGAGAUGAGUGUUCAUGUCCCGUCUGAAACCAAGUGAACUUUGAGUUAUUUUAAGGUACGUGUUCAUGUUACCUGAACUAAGUCUCUUUACGUGACGUAUGGAACGUGAUGAUGUCCAACCGUGUUACUUUUCCUAAACCUGACCUGAGUUAUUUUACUUUCUUCAUUCAAACAUUCGUAACUUAAUAUUUCUAUGCCAGACAUCAGUAAUUUUAUCUACUAAACCUAGCCUACGUCACUUUGCUUUACGAUGACACCCAACCAUGUUUCCUUUCCGAAGCAUAACCUUUAUUUUUCUAAAACUAACUUACGUAACUCUACCCUCCUAAAACUAACCUGCGUAACUUAACGUUAAGUACGUGACAUGAGGUCUCCCAAUCAUCAUUUUUCUCUCUGAUCUAACGUGGGCAACUUUACUUAAGUUAAGGAUUUUUCUCCUUGACCUAAAAUAACUGAUAGUGGCGCUAAUUUGUUGGGCACUACUUUACUAGAUAUCAUACAAAGUGUUGGGUCGUUGGUGUAUUUCACAGGAAUAGGCUAGCCGUUUUCUCCUGCCUCUGCUUUUUGUGCUAGGCUAAGCUAAACAUACAGCAGAGCUCCAAGGCAAGUAAGUAAUCUCCCAACAUGUUGGAGUGUUCUGUAAAUAAACUGUUUUUAAAGUUCAAGUGUAUCCUCAAGAUUUAAGAGCAAUACAUUUUACCAUACGUAAAGGAUAAAAAUUAAGUUGUUUAGCCAGAGAAAGCAGACGGUCUGAGCCACAGACACUGAGACAGCAUCUUUCAAAUGGUCAAAAAGUUGUCAAGCAUUUGAGUCUUUUAAAUUUCACAUAAUGGAUUAAUAAUAUUUAAUGAGCACUGACGUUUUGCAGUUUUCCAUGACGCUCCAUGUAUUCCUGCUGCAUUUCCUGUUUCAGUCCGAGCAUUGCACUGAAAACUAAAUAAGCAAGAAGUGACUAUUUCUGAAGACCAGUGAAAGUGUUGUAUCAUAAAAAAAAAGCUAAAUCAACCAUGCUGUUAUAAUAAAUGCUCAAAUAUGUCGAACUUACCAACAUUUACAUUUGAGUCACUGAAUUCCUGCUGUUCUCAAAUUAAUCAUUUUCUAAACUUUAGGCCGGUGUCGUCUCUGCUUUACUCAGAUUUUGAACUCAUAUUGUGAAAUGUGACAGCGUGUCACUGACUCCUCCUCACAGUGUCGUGGUACGUCAUGGGUUAAUGUGUAACGUCCGUCUGUCUCUGGUGGUUCAACUGUGACGUGUUUGAGAGAGAACAUCUAUAGUGUGCAGGUGUUGUGUUGUACAUACAGUGUGUAUCUGUGCUGUAGAUUGUUGUUUGUGCAGAAUAUGACUUCACUUGAAUGUACGUUACUUUUCUUGUUAUUCAUAAAGUUUAUUUUUUUGAAUCAAUGUGGGCCGCCCCAUGUUUGACCCUGGUGUUUCUCUGUGAGAGAUUUUAUUACGAUGCCGCCUUUUCCUUUUGUUUUCCAGUAUUGUAAAGAGAAUAUAUGAAUAAAGAUAUUAUCUUCU